UACGUAGGGUGCAAGCGUUGUCCGGAAUUAUUGGGCGUAAAGGGCUCGUAGGCGGCCAACUAAGUCAGACGUGAAAUCCCUCGGCUUAACCGGGGAACUGCAUCUGAUACUGGAUGGCUUGAGAUUGGGAGAGGGAUGCGGAAUUCCAGGUGUAGCGGUGAAAUGCGUAGAUAUCUGGAGGAACACCGGUGGCGAAGGCGGCUCACUGGACCGGAACUGACGCUGAGGCGCGAAAGCGUGGGGAGCAAACAGG
rnacentral:rRNA from 1 species